rnacentral:rRNA from 1 species
UACAGAGGGUGCGAGCGUUAAUCGGAAUUACUGGGCGUAAAGCGUGCGUAGACGGUCAAGUAAGUCGGGUGUGAAAGCCCCGGGCUCAACCUGGGAAUUGCAUUUGAGACUGAAUAGCUAGGGUGCGGAAGAGGGAAGCGGAAUUUCCGGUGUAGCGGUGAAAUGCGUAGAUAUCGGAAGGAACACCAGUGGCGAAAGCGGCUUCCUGGUCCAGCACCGACGUUCAGGCACGAAGCGU